GGGAGAUCCGGAAGUAGGGCGGUGACGUCAUCUGAAACGUUGACGCUACGAAAACAUAGAACUUCAAGACGAUAUCGAAGUUUACCGAAUAUUAUUCUAAUUGACACCAGGACUGUCCGAAUACAGCAGAGACAAUAAUGUCUGUCGUGUUGGCGAUAAUAACAGCUGCUGUUGCUGCAUAUAUACUUAUUUAUUACAAUGGUUUUCGAUGUGCCAGGUGUAAAAGUGCAGAGAUGCUGCAGGGAAAGACAGCUGUAGUCACUGGUGCUAACACUGGCAUUGGGAAGGCAACAGCCAUGGAUCUGGCCAGGCGAAGGGCAAGAGUUAUUCUGGCCUGCAGAAACAAGGAGAAAGCUGAGGCUGCUGCAUAUGACAUCAGAAGGGAAACUGGUAAUACAGAGGUGUUGUUUAUGCAUCUGGACCUGGCCAGUUUGAAGUCCGUGCGUGAUUUUGCUGAGACAUUUCUCAAGACUGAGCCCAGACUGGACCUGCUCAUCAACAAUGCAGGAGUGAUGGCAGGAGGCAAAACCGAGGAUGGCUUUGGCAUGGCGUUCAUGGUUAACCAUCUGGGCCACUUUCUUCUGACACUGCUACUUCUGGAUCGGCUGAAGGCAUCAGGGCAGAGUCGAAUCGUCAAUGUGUCAGCUAAGCUUCAUUGCCUGGGCUCUGUGGACUUCAGCACUCUCAGCACACACAAGGAUUUGGUGUCAGGAGAGUCAUUGUGGCACAUCUUCAUGGCCUACUGCCAUAGCAAACUCUGUAAUGUUCUGUUUACCCGAGAGCUGGCCAACCGUCUAGAGGGCAGCAGUGUGACCUGUUACAGCUUGCAUCCUGGAGUUGUAGCUACAGAACUGGGACGCUAUAUACUUUUUUGGAUGAGGCUGCCGAUGCUGAUCAUCUCCAAGUUCUUCUUUCUGACCCCAGACAGCGGUGCUCAGACUACGCUGCACUGUGCCCUCCAGGAGGGCUUGGAGCCUCUUAGUGGCCGAUACUUCUCUUCUUGUGCCCUAUGCAAUGUCAGUGACAUGGCCCGAGAUGAUGGGCUGGCCAAAAAGCUGUGGGAAGUGAGCGAGAGGAUGUGUGGCCUGUCAUGAGUGAGAGCGUGGCUGGGAUCGUUACAGACAGAGCCAAGACUCAAGGCUGCCAGGAGGUCGAUGAGAGCGAAGGUGUGCAGAGUGAAACCCUUUCUCACACUCGCGCUUGUGUCUGCUGUUCGAUCCGAUCUCUAGAUGUGACACAUCGAUGAGCGAUGCCAGGUGUUUGCCUUGGACACACUCCCGAGCUCAUGGGCACAGUACUUAACCACUGGAUUAGUGCAUCAAUUAGCAAUCGCUGCAUGGGAGAGCCCUGAUUGAUCGAGAACUCUGAUGGUCGGGUGAGUGUGAGACAAGCUGGAACUUGUGUUUGUGGAGAACAGCUGACUGUGUGCUUCUGUGUACACUGCCUUGGGUUAGAUCUACUAGCGCCUAAUACAUAGGUAAUACCUGUGCUGUUCCCAACACCAGUUUUGUCCCAAACACAAAUCUUCUAUAUAAUCAUUCGCACUAGAAACUGAUCCAAACAUUUUCUAAAAAUCAUCUUUUUUAGCCAUUUCUUGAUGAUGUAUAAAGAGCAUUCACAGCAUCUACGAAAGUUCCGGCCAUUUCAUCAUUCUUAUCCUGCACAAACAAAGCUACACCAACAACAGCUACAAAUGGAGAAGAGCUUAAAAGAAAAGAUAUACUAACAUGUCAUAGUGCACAAUUGGAGACACAGCUCAUACGUGUCUAAUACAGAAUGCAGGAUAUUUAAUUUAAACGCUACAAACUUUGUACUGUAGUGUAAUAUAUGAUAUUUGAAGUACACAUGUUGUGUACAUGAGUGAUGAGUCUCGUAGCUCCAGCAGUUCAUUCUUGGGUUGUGUGGAUUGAAAUGUUCUCCCUGUCUUUGCACUUGUUUCUUUUAUCUUCUCAGAUUUCUUCUGACCUGCUAAAAAACAUGCUAGGUAGGUGGAUUGGUGACGAUAAACUGGCCCUGUAUGGGGAGAAGUGAAUAUGUCCCUGCUUUACACAUACUGUUUCCAGGCUCCAGAUCCUCAACAGUCCUGACCAGGAAUAAAUGAACGAAUGAACUGUGUAGGCAAUAGAAUCAAAUGCCAUUCAUUUCCAUCUGACAUUAAGCAACUUAACACGCAACCAUUAUAUUGUUCACAUAUGUUUAUUAUGAUUACAGUUUGGAAAGAAGCUAUCGAUAUAUUUGUAUGUAUAUAAAAUCGUUUCAAAUGUCAAAUGACAUUUUGCAUAAUGGGAAGUAUGAUGCACAAUCUCCUGGCCUUUUGUUUGUACUUCUCACUACACAAGACCGUUAGGAAUGCUCCAUCCUUGUGCAGGCUAUAAGUCGCACCUACAUUACUGAUUAACAUCAUGCCUGGGGGGGGUUUAGCAGGUGCUGAGGGUCUGAUGUUCAGGAUGUUGGUCUGUUGGGACGUGGUGUCUCACAGUUUAGUACCACGUUAGUGUAGAAGAUGGAGCUGCCGAUUCUGUGCACACUGUAUGUUUGUAUGUUUGAUGGGUGAGGGUGUUAAUGUGUGUGUGUGUGUGUGUGUGGGGGGGGGGUAUUUGGUGAUGACAAUUUGGAGGCUUCAGAUCCAGCUUAUUAAUCAUUUUCUCUCUCUCUUUAUCAUGGCACGCGUCAUGGAAAUGCCGGUUGAAGUCGGUAAAUAGAAGUAUCCUUUGGGUCAUGUUAUUUCCACAGGUGCAAUUAGCAUCUCCAUCUGCUAAUCUGUGAUUAAUAAUGUUUACAAAUACACUAGAGCACUCCAGAGAGCAACUCUCACCUUUCUUUCUCUGUGCUCUGCUCUCUCUCUCUCUCUCUCUCUCUCUCUCUCUCUCUCUCUCUCUCUCUCUCUCUCUCUCUCUCUCUCUCCCUCUCUCAAUCCCUUGUGUGAACAGACAUGGCUGAUUUCUCCAAUGUCCUGUUGUUUAGUGUGAGGGAGAAUCAAAAUGCUGAAUUUAUUUGUAGGGGAGGGGGAUGAUAAAGGCAAAGCCAGCGCUUCACGUCACUUCUGCCGUCUGAACAAUACAGAGGGACUGAGUGAUUGAUGAUGUUGGAGCGUUGUUCCAUGUUGGUGAGAAGCUGCUGGAAUUAUGCAGGGUCAUUCUGUUACCUGUUUCUGUUGCUCAUUGUUGGGUUUCUUUUCUCAUUACCCUUUUAAUUUUGUAGUACCAGGUUUAUAAGUGUGCACGUUUGCAUGGAUUUUAUAGUGGCCUGAAUUGUUUGGGGUAGUUUAUAGAAAAAUGGCCUGUGAGAAAACCUGCAUAACUUUUAUGCCGAGCAGCACAGAUGCACUGCAGUUAUUGGAUCAUAACAUGCACAUGUCGUAUAUUAUGAAACAUGCAACCUAUACAUGUUACUGAUUCUCUUAUUUGAUUCCAGCAAAAUAGAUCUGGAAAAUGUAUGGAAGAAAUGUUCGGAGUGUGUGAGUGUUUGCUGCACUUAUUCGCCUUACGAGAAACAGAAGAUUUUUUUGUAAAAAAGACAACGAGUACAUCCCUAUGUAGUGCACGGUGUGACCCAUUCAUGAUUCAGCCACAGAUAAAUGUGACAGAAAAUGCAAAAGCCAGAAAGGGAAAUUUUCCUGAUGGCGGACGUUAGGGCUAUGAGAGGAAGCGAGGAAACGAUUGUCUGUUUCACGGCAGUGGUAGCUCAAGUGAUUAAGGCUCUGUGUAUUAGAUUGGAAAAUCAGGGUUCAAGCCCCAGUUCUGCCAAGCUGCUGCUGCUGGGCCCCUAAGCAAGGCCCUUAACCCUCUCUACUCUAGGGGUACUGUAUCUGGAUAUGUGACAAAAUAAAGGCUUCUUCUUCUUAUAGCUGCUGUUACAUUAGUGAUAACAGGAGCUAAGUAUUUUUGAGGAGGUUCCAUGAUAUUAACUGCUUCUCUGUUGUUGAUUAUUUUCCUAUAACAGCAUCUUUUAUUCCUCAGUGUAUGUGACAUUUGAACUGUGUAUUUUUCUUCUGUUUGAAGAUCCCUGCCUCUCCACAGUCCUAAUCUAGUGAUGGGUCAUGGGCUAUUAUUUCUAAACAAUAUUAAGGUUGUCUUUUUUUUUUCCAGCCCUUCAUAAUUUGUUUAUUAAUAUGACACUGAGGAUAAGAUGCAACGAAUCUUGCCAUGUUCCUGAUUGAUGCUCUGUAGGAUCCAAUAAUUCAUCAUCUGCUUUAACUGUAUUGUAGGCACUUUUUUUUUUUUUUUUUUGCAAAAGGGCCUCACAUUUUUCUGUGAUUAUGUGCUGGCUUUAAUUGUACACCUUCUCUUCUUCCGUUUCUGUCUGAAAUAGACUUUCACCCAGAAGUGCCAAUUUGUGUUAGUUUUCUUUAAAAAAAACAACAACAAAAAAUUGAUGAACAUACAUUCAGUCACACUAUUUAGGUAAAUGAGCCCAUUUUGCAUGUCUGGCAAUUUAGUGUAAUUUUACGAGGAAGCAUAGCUCGCUGUGUGCCAUGCAGUGUGCUGCUGCGUUGGGUCGUGCAGGAAAAGCUGUCAUUUAGACAGGAGCUGCAGCAUUCGGCAAUUGUUUUACUAAUUGCCAAUUAGCUACCUUGGAAUAAAGUGCCAUCCUUUGUUGUAUUUUAGUGAUUUGCUGGCUAACCAGUCAUUACCGAUGUGUUCUGGAUGUUUACAAAAACAUUAAGUGUCACAGGGGAGCGAUUGUGUUUUCUUCAAAAAAAACAACAAAAAAACACAAACAAAAAAACCCCACCACCAUCCCUGGAGGUGCCGGUUAAACCAGGGGAGGAGAAUGGAGUAUUAUAUCAUUUACUAUGAGGUGCAUUUCUGUUUGUACCCUAAAGAGGAAAAGUCAAGGUGUAAGUGUGUGUUUCUGAUCAAUUCAAUCAACAUAACAAAAAAUGUGUUAACAAAACACAUGAUUUUUUUGUUGAUAAUGUCUUGCGUGUGUUUUUUCCCCCUUUACAUCUAUUCCAUUCUAUACAUUUUUGACUAAUGGAUUAGCGAGUGGAAGGCAAGAGCGAUGGUGUUCGAAAGGAAAACCUAAGGAGAAAUUAUGCUUUGUUUGAAACUUAAGAAUGUGAUUUAAGAAUUAAGAGCGAUUUAAGAGCUUUAAACUGUGAACAGUAUGUCAGUGAAAUGUUAAGUGGCAUUCUACUACUAUGGUGUGUAAAAUAGCUGUGUUUUUAUGUGGAAACUGAAAUAGAUUAUACACACCAAACAAAACACAGAUUUUCUUUCUAUACGCUCAUCUCAGACACAACUGAGGUCAAACAGUAAACAAAGCACUCUUUUGACAGCUCAAGGUUUGUGUUUUGUGUGAAGUUCAUUGUAAAUGGCCAGAGAAAUACAGAGAAAGCACGAUUAUUGAUCAUGUUCUGGUUAAACCUGGGUGUAAGAUGGAGAAUAGACGGAUUAAAAGCAGUCAUUGUGUUGCACUAGGCCUUCAUUCAGACCACGAUGAAUGAGCUAUGUUGAUUUUUUUAGAGGAUGUAUGUGUUUGCAUUUGUGCCUUCUCCACUAACAUAAGGCCCAGAUGGACAAAUAUCAACAAGACUUCGGCGUUAGAGCUUCGGCAGUGGUGCUUUUGUGCUCUUUUCUCCGGGGGGCUAAAUCUGUUAAUUAAUGAGAAUGGUUAACUAACUCCUCUUGGCUCUGACAAUUGCAAGAGCGUGCCAAAGCAACAGCACAGACAGAUGUGUGAGCCAGUCGGACGGAAAACAAAAUCGACACCGGGCUGCUCCUGUGCUGCAAAAUGUGCAGUAAGUCAUGUCUGUUAAACUUAUCAUGCCACUCCGUGUCUUCCCUUUAAUUUGCUGUUAAUCAGCUGUAAUUGUGGCAGCUGCCAUGCUCUCACUCUCUGGGUCAGUGUGUCUCACCGUGCCCACUCAGCCACAAGUGCCUUUAUUUAUAGGACGGAUGUGAAUCAGCAGCACUGCUUUGUUAGUUCAAGUCAUCACAGUAGAAAAUCCUUAAGCACAUGUGUACAUGGGACGUACAGGGUUACCCAGCUGAGGCAUAUACAGAGAGGCCCAUCUCGUGUCAAGAGGAAAACUCAAGCUCAGGUAGGGAUUUAAUUUGGUUUGUCUAUUACUCAAGGCUCUUCAGCUACCCAGGACUUGGAGCUGUAUGCUCGUCUGCAGGCCCUCACAGCUGAGCCUCUCGAUUGUGACCCUAAACCUCAGCUAAUCCCAGAGAAAUCCUGAGAGCUGCUCUUAGAUCAGAAAUUUAGAUGAUGGUUUUGAGGUUCUGAUCAAAAUCAGAUCUGGUCAGCCCUGACUGAUUGGAUUUGGGAUUUUUGUAGAUAUUUGUGUGUUUGUGCACUUAUGCUGCUGUUGGUGCACUUUUGGUAAGAGAGGGGUGAUGGACAGGAGAGUUAGUGAUAGUGUAAACAUUAUUUUUGAUUUAGACCUUGAAUGUAAAAACGACUCAACAAGUGCUCCAGGAGAGUCCACUGCCACCCUUCUGGGCAGCUGUCUCAGCUCCGGAGGAGGCAGUAGAGUCAUCAAUAUCGACUGCUGGCCAUUGAUCAGCUUUAUUGAUCAGGAUGGGCAGCAGGGCCAAAGGAAGGAAAGGCCCGCUGAUCCUCAUCGCAGCAAUUGUUUAGGGUCACUGACAAAUCCAAUUGCCUAUCAGGGAGCGAUCAUGAGAACAAACGGCUGAUGUCGAUGCUAGGGCCGUGCCCUGUGGUAGCUGUCACUCAGCAUUACUCCUGAUGUGUGUAUGUGUUUGGUUGUGAUGCCAAGGGGAUGGCACGCUGCCUUUUCCUGCCCUGCUAUAUAAAGUUUCAGUUUUAUUCAUAAAGUGCUUUACAAAGCAGCUUUACAGAUAUCCAACUCUAUUCUAUGUCAAACUUAUGUUAAAGAAAUGUUCAUUCUAAGCUAUACAGUUUUUAUGAUUUACCCCAGAAGAUUCUUUUGCACACGAUCAGUAUACAGUAUCCUAUACGUUCGUCACUGGCUUUCCCAUGCUCACUGAGAUUCUGCUUUACCUCACAAACAGGUACACACCAGCAAAAAAGUGAGAAAGGCCUGCAUGGCAGUGUCCCGAAACACAGCUCAAUCCCACACCACUAAUGUGGCCGGUAACAAAACAGAGCUUCUUCGAGGCUAUUGAGGCUGGUUUGCUUUGCCUGGCUGCUCUGGGUGACAGACACAACACCUGGCUGCCGGGGUUCCCAAUCAAAAGUGUGACUCGGGGCACUUUGCUAACUAAUUAUGGAAAACAGGAGCAACCUCACUUCAUCCAGCUCCCCCCUUUUCAACACCCCAGUGCCUCUUUUUUGGGGGGUGUGCCUUUGAUAAGGCUUGCUCUCUUGUCAACAAGCGUGUAUUUAAUUAGUGUUGAUUGUUGUUAGCGUGUUCAAUAGUUAUUAAUUAGGCCUGGGAGGGGCCCUUCAUUUGAUUGCAUGCCUGGAGCAGUGACAUCUUGUGUUGUUUCACACUCCAAACUAUAAAUGUGAGGGGCAUAAAAAGGAGAGGAUUUUAUUUUCCUUAAGAAUGUAGGUUUUCUUUUUCUUUUUUUUGCCAUUAACUGCUUUCCCAUAGUUUUAGAAGAGGCAAGUACAAUACAGUUUGACAAAAUUGAUUUGCAUUCAUUGCCAGUGCUGCAAUUUGGAACUUACCCCCUGUUCACUUAGCAUGAGCAUCACAGCAUGCCCAUCUGUUUACUAUCGAUGAAAGUGAUAAUACUAUCAACAUUAUGGCUUUGCAUAAUACACCUCUCUAUGCAUUUCAUACCUAGAAACUCCGACACUGUGAGCUGAGAUGAUCAGCCCAGGUGCACAUAUCUAGAGAGGAAAGGAUGAGUGAAUUGUCUUGGGGUUCAUUCUAAACUUCUGCUGUGGGGUGCAUUUCCCGCUGUUCAGCUGAGCAUAUACUCUCAUUCGAAGGCGGCACAAGGAGCUCUGCCUAUUAAAAUGUAAAUUCCCUCUCGGUGCACCAGGCCCAGACUGUGGAACUCAGCAGGUGAAGUGUGUGUGUGUGUGUGUGUGUGUGUGUGUGUGUGUGUGUGUGUGUGUGUGUGUGUGUGUGUGUGUAAAUGCGACUGUGUGUUGUGAACCCAUUUUCUAGCAUGGUUUAUUUUUGUAAGGGCAAAAUGUGACGGAGUAAAACUCAAAUUCAAAAUUUUCCAUAUGUGUGCUUUAAUUAAUGCCAUAUGAACUGGUGAAAACGGGCUACAUGUAAACAUUUAGCACAAACAUUAGCCACAGAAAACCAGUUUAUUUUUAUUUAUUUAUUUAUUAUUUUUUUAAAAGAAAUUAUACUUAUGACACGCAAUUUUGGAGCAUCUUUGUGCUUUGUGGUUUUUGUUUUUUAAAUCCACAUGACCAUGACAACACAUUCAAUGUUUUCUCCUGCCAGAUGAGGUGUGUGUGUUUUUUUUUAUGUUUUCUGUUUGUAUAAUUUUUUUAAAUUAUGGGCCCAAGCACAAAAGGUGUUGUGAGAAUUCUUCUUCUUCUUCUUCUUCUUCUUCUUCUUCUUCUUCUUCUUCUUC